rnacentral:rRNA from 1 species
AUUGAACGCUGGCGGCAUGCUUUACACAUGCAAGUCGAACGGCAGCGCGGGCUUCGGCCUGGCGGCGAGUGGCGAACGGGUGAGUAAUACACCGGAACGUGCCCAGCAGUGGGGGAUAGCUCGGCGAAAGCCGGAUUAAUACCGCAUACGACCUGAGGGUGAAAGCGGGGGAUCUUUGGACCUCGCGCUAUUGGAGCGGCCGAUGGCAGAUUAGCUAGUUGGUGGGGUAAAGGCCUACCAAGGCGACGAUCUGUAGCUGGUCUGAGAGGACGACCAGCCACACUGGGACUGAGACACGGCCCAGACUCCUACGGGAGGCAGCAGUGGGGAAUUUUGGGCAAUGGGCGAAAGCCUGAUCCAGCAAUGCCGCGUGUGUGAUGAAGGCCUUCGGGUUGUAAAGCACUUUUGGCGGGAACGAAAAGGACUGUGCCAAUACCACGGUUCGAUGACGGUACCCGCAGAAUAAGCACCGGCUAACUACGUG